rnacentral:lncRNA from 1 species
GGCGGGAAGUCUGAGUCAGCAGGCACCCGUUACGUGUCAGACUCCGGUUCCUUGUCCCGCGUGGAAAACCAAACUAAACCUGCAUCGGACGAGCGAUCCGGAGACGGGAUGCCAGGGUGAUGGAGGACAGAAGGGUGGGCAGUGGAAGAAGACCUUAGCGACCUCUGUUCUCUCGCCCCUACUUGCAGGCUCCAGCUCUCAGGGGCCCCGGAGCUGAGAGUGUAGCUUAGCGUGGACGCAGUCCCUGGCUUCGAUCCCGGGGCGCAGAGGUGGAGAAGACACCUCCAAAUAGGCACUCACCUGCGGCCGCGACCGCCGCGGGACUGCUCUGCGCUGAGGGCGGCUUCAUGGAGAAGUUGCUCAGUGACACGCGUAGCAGAGAUGCUGCGAGGUGUUGGCCCUGGUGGCUGCCGCCUGCACUGCAGUCUGCUCCGGUGCCUCUGCCUUGCUCCUUGCCGAGCCUGAGCGCUAGCUACUCGCCUGAGCCGCGCCACCCGCCGGCUACUCCGUCUUAUAGCCACCGGCAGGGGCGGGGCGGGGCGGGGCUGCUGAGUAAGUCCCAGACGACCUAGGGGACGCCCCUGUCCCUCCACCCCCUACUCCCGGCACCGCCCUAGCCACGCGCUGGCCUCUGAAGAACCGCAGUGACGGGUGUCGCCGGAGUCCAGGAUACCGCCCCAAAUAUUUACCCGCCGCUUUCUCUACCACCCUGACAACCCGACCCAAGGAAGUGUCUUUGCGGGCAUCAGAGUUCUCCAAGAGUUUACCCUGUUUCCCGCCUUCUGGCUGAGCCUCCUUGAGCCUCAUCUAUGAAAUGGAACUGCACAUGCAGAAAGCCUCCUUGUUUGCUGCAAAAAUAAAGGAGCCAAGGGCCUCAGUAGCCUCUGC